GUUUUCGGGUAAUUACAGCAGUCUUUUGACUGUUGAGGAAAGUCCAUGCUCUCACAAGCUGCGAUGCUUGUAGUGUUCGUGCUUAGCGAAAAAAUAAGCUAAGGGACUCAUUUUUGAGUUACGGCAACUAAAAAAGCUAAGGUCUUAUGACUAUGCUUGAGUAAGUUUGAAAGUGCCACAGUGACGAAGUGCUUGGAGAAAUCCAAACAGUGGAACGGGUAAACCCCUCGAGAGAGCAACCCAAAUUAUGGUCGGGGCAUUCUUUUCACGGAAUUGAACGUAGAAAGGGAACAAAGUAAUCUUUGUAGACAGAUUAUUACCGUUGGUUUUUCGUUCCUGGGAAAACCAAUACAGAACAUGGCUUAUAGAA
rnacentral:RNase_P_RNA from 2 species